rnacentral:miRNA from 1 species
CUGUGACUACUAUUUGCUUAG